rnacentral:rRNA from 1 species
CGACGCCGCGUGGGGAUGAAGGCCUUCGGGUUGUAAACCCCUUUCACCAGGAGCGAAUUCAGACGGUACCUGGGGAAGAAGCGCCGGCUAACUACGUGC